AUUGAACGCUGGCGGCAGGCCUAACACAUGCAAGUCGAGCGAGCGGCGGACGGGUGAGUAAUGUCUGGGAAACUGCCUGAUGGAGGGGGAUAACUACUGGAAACGGUAGCUAAUACCGCAUACCAUCAGAUGUGCCCAUAUGGGAUUAGCUGGUAGGUGGGGUAACGGCUCACCUAGGCGACGAGCCCUAGCUGGUCUGAGAGGGUGACCAGCCACACGGGAACGGAGACACGGGCCAGAGUCCUAUGGGAGGAAGCAGGGGGGAAGAUGGCACAAUGGGCGCAAGCCUGAUGCAGACAUGCCGCGUGGAUGAAGAAGGCCUUCGGGUUGGAAAGUACUUUCAGCGGGGAGGCGUUACCCGCAGAAGAAGCACCGGAUAACUCCGUGCCAGCAGCCGCGGUAAUUC
rnacentral:rRNA from 1 species